rnacentral:rRNA from 1 species
GAGCAUUGCAAUUAUUGCUCUUCAACGAGGAAUGCCUAGUAAGCGCGUGUCAUCAGCACGCGUUGAUUACGUCCCUGCCCUUUGUACACACCGCCCGUCGCUACUACCGAUUGAAUGGCUCAGUGAGGCCUUCGGACUGGCUCAGGGAGGUUGGCAACGACCACCCCGAGCCGGAAAGUUGGUCAAACUCGGUCAUUUAGAGGAAGUAAACAUCGUAACAAGGUUUCCGUAGGUGAACCUGCGGAAGG